rnacentral:tRNA from 1 species
GUCGGCGUGAUUUAAUGGCAGACACGGCAGACUCAAAAUCUGCUGAGGGUAACUUCGUGAGAGUUCAAUUCUCUCCGCUGACA